GGAAGAUGCUCGAAGUUUUCUCUUCCCUGAGCCUAAGUUGAUCCCAUCUUUUUCUGGGGGAGGCCGAGAAGUUCUAAUGACGAGGGAUCCUUCUUUUCCUGGAAUUUCGCCAAGGUUAGAAUUCUCUACUAGGACGACAAUCAGCGAGUGCUCAGAAAGAGAUACUUUCCAGAGUGCCCCUGUGAGAGUAAUGACUAGGAAAAGCGCCAAGAAGCCCAGGUCACAGGGCCACUCUUGUCACCAUUCCUCUGCAUCGUGGAGGCAUGAAGGCCUCUGGAGCACAGGGAGGGAGAGAGAGGUACCUAGCUCCCGCUCGCUCUCCCCAUUUCUGAGUGCUGGGUCAAACAAGAUCAACUCGUCUCCUCAAACACAUAGACAGAGAAAAGAUUCAUGGUCUAGGGAUACAUCUCACUGUUCACCAGGUAGAAGCAGCAGGAUAAGAAGCCCAUCGCCUCAUGACUCUACCGUGGAAUCAGGUGUU
ensembl:lncRNA